CUCCUGGUGGCUCAGAGGUUAAAGCGUCUGCCUGCAAUGCGGGAGACCUGGGUUCGAUUCCUGGGUCGGGGAG
rnacentral:tRNA from 1 species